rnacentral:rRNA from 1 species
UAAUACGUAGGUGGCAAGCGUUGUCCGGAAUUAUUGGGCGUAAAGCGCGCGCAGGCGGUCCUUUAAGUCUGAUGUGAAAGCCCACGGCUCAACCGUGGAGGGUCAUUGGAAACUGGGGGACUUGAGUACAGAAGAGAAGAGUGGAAUUCCACGUGUAGCGGUGAAAUGCGUAGAGAUGUGGAGGAACACCAGUGGCGAAGGCGACUCUUUGGUCUGUAACUGACGCUGAGGCGCGAAAGCGUGGGGAGCAAACAGGAUUAGAUACCCUGGUAGUCCACGCUGUAAACGAUGAGUGCUAAGUGUUAGAGGGUUUCCGCCCUUUAGUGCUGCAGCUAACGCAUUAAGCACUCCGCCUGGGGAGUACGGCCGCAAGGCUG